UGCCAGCCGCCGCGGUAAUACGGAGGGGACUAGCGUUGUUCGGAAUUACUGGGCGUAAAGCGCGCGUAGGCGGACUGAUCAGUCAGGGGUGAAAUCCCGGGGCUCAACCCCGGAACUGCCUUUGAUACUGUCAGUCUAGAAUUUAGGAGAGGCAAGUGGAAUACCGAGUGUAGAGGUGAAAUUCGUAGAUAUUCGGUGGAACACCAGUGGCGAAGGCGACUUGCUGGACUAAUAUUGACGCUGAGGUGCGAAAGCGUGGGGAGCAAACAGGAUUAGAUA
rnacentral:rRNA from 1 species